CAAUAGCGUAUAUUAAAGUUGUUGCGGUUAAAAAGCUCGUAGUUGGAUUUCUGCUGAGGACGACCGGUCCGCCCUCUGGGUGAGUAUCUGGCUCGGCCUUGGCAUCUUCUUGGAGAACGUUGCUGCACUUGACUGUGUGGCGCGGUAUCCAGGACAUUUACUUUGAGGAAAUUAGAGUGUUUCAAGCAGGCAUACGCCUUGAAUACAUUAGCAUGGAAUAAUAAGAUAGGACCUCGGUUCUAUUUUGUUGGUUUCUAGAGCUGAGGUAAUGAUUAAUAGGGAUAGUUGGGGGCAUUCGUAUUUAACUGUCAGAGGUGAAAUUCUUGGAUUUGUUAAAGGCGGACUACUGCGAAAGCAUUUGCCAAGGAUGUUUNCAUUG
rnacentral:rRNA from 1 species